rnacentral:sRNA from 1 species
GUGUGGAAUAUCCAACAGACAACUGGAUAGUUAACUGGGCAAAGAACCUAGUUUUGAUUUUGCAUGAUUAUUUGUUGGUUUCCGCUGGUGAUAAAUCAAGCAUUCCAUUCAAUCCCUGUGUGAAAUGAGUAUUUUACUUCCUUCAUAAGAAAUCUACAUGCUCUUGUUUACUCCACACACUGUUAUUGAGCUUAAACAACUCAAAGAGAAAAAGAUAUAAAUUAUUGUUGCUAAAUAUAUUCAUGUUUGCUUUAUUACUCGAUAGCAAUGCCACUCUAUGUGUUUAUGACAAAGAUAUGCCUUUUUUGUGUAUUAUCUAGCUAUGCUACUGGGUGUAGUAUGCUAUCGUACAUGCAUUACAUGCUUUUCUUUGUGUUUUUUGCUUACAAGUGGCUUUGUCACUACAUGCAUGUAUAAUCAUUUUUGCUUCAUUUCAAAGAAUUUGAAGAAUGUAAUUCAUUUACAUGUAAUUGUAUUAAGUGCUAUGAUGUUUUUGUUUUUAUUUAUCUUUCUUUCAUUUACUCUCAUGUUGAAGUGCUCAUUUGCAUUUUGUAUUUGUUGGGAUAUAGAAAUAUUUGGAUUCAUAAUCAGAUUUGUUCAUGUAGGAACAUUUGUGAAAUAUAACUGUUCAUUUUUUAUUAAACUCUAAAUUUC